rnacentral:snRNA from 1 species
GGAUGUGAAGGUAAUCUGGCCACAACAUCUGUCACCCCCCAUUGAUCACCAGGGAUGAUUCAGUUAAGUUGGUUGGCUAGGUGGGUGUCCCCUUUCACCCUCCCGAAGCUGUGUGCUGGGCUGAAGAGGAAGAUGGAGGAGGACCAUUUCCUUGAUCAAGGUAUGCAAGUAGCUGCACUUCCCUGCUAGAACCUCCAAACAAGCUCUCAAAAAAAGAAAAUGUGGGCUGGGGAUUUAGCUCAGUGGUUCCACUGCCUGCCUCGAAAGUGCAAGGGCCUGAGU